rnacentral:rRNA from 1 species
GAUGAACGCUGGCGGCGUGCUUAACACAUGCAAGUCGAACGAAGCACUUAAGAUUGAUUCUUCGGAUGACGUCUUUUGUGACUUAGUGGCGGACGGGUGAGUAACGCGUGGGUAACCUGCCUCACACAGGGGGAUAACAGUUAGAAAUGACUGCUAAUACCGCAUAACCCGAUAGGAUCGCAUGAUCCAGACGGAAAGAUUAUCGGUGUGAGAUGGACCCGCGUCUGAUUAGCUGGUUGGUGAGGUAACGGCCCACCAAGGCGACGAUCAGUAGCCGGCCUGAGAGGGUGAACGGCCACAUUGGGACUGAGACACGGCCCACG